AGUGAACGCUGGCGGUAGGCCUAACACAUGCAAGUCGAACGGCAGCACAGUAAGAGCUUGCUCUUACGGGUGGCGAGUGGCGGACGGGUGAGGAAUACAUCGGAAUCUACUUUUUCGUGGGGGAUAACGUAGGGAAACUUACGCUAAUACCGCAUACGACCUACGGGUGAAAGCAGGGGAUCUUCGGACCUUGCGCGAUUGAAUGAGCCGAUGUCGGAUUAGCUUGUUGGCGGGGUAAAGGCCCACCAAGGCGACGAUCCGUAGCUGGUCUGCGAGGAUGAUCAGCCACACUGGAACUGAGACACGGUCCAGACUACUACGGGAGGCAGCAGUGGGGAAUAUUAGACAAUGGGCGCAAGCCUGAUCCAGCCAUACCGCGUGGGUGAAGAAGGCCUUCGGGUUGUAAAGCCCUUUUGUUGGGAAAGAAAAGCAGCAGGUUAAUCCCCCGCUGUUCUGACGGUACCCAAAGAAUAAGCACCGGCUAACUUCGUG
rnacentral:rRNA from 1 species